rnacentral:tRNA from 1 species
GGGGGUACGGCUCAUGGGUAGAGAAUCUACCUUGCCUGCAGAAGGUCUCAGGUUCAAUCCUGGGUAUCUCCA